rnacentral:rRNA from 1 species
AUUGAACGCUGGCGGAAUGCUUUACACAUGCAAGUCGAACGGCAGCACGGACUUCGGUCUGGUGGCGAGUGGCGAACGGGUGAGUAAUGUAUCGGAACGUGCCCAGUCGUGGGGGAUAACGUAGUGAAAAUUACGCUAAUACCGCAAACGAUCUAUGGAUGAAAGCGGGGGAUCGCAAGACCUCGCGCGAUUGGAGCGGCCGAUAUCAGAUUAGGUAGUUGGUGGGGUAAAGGCCCACCAAGCCAACGAUCUGUAGCUGGUCUGAGGGGACGACCAGCCACACUGGAACUGAGACACGGUCCAGACUCCUACGGGAGGCAGCAGUGGGGAAUUUUGGACAAUGGGCGAAAGCCUGAUCCAGCCAUUCCGCGUGCAGGAUGAAGGCCCUCGGGUUGUAAACUGCUUUUGUACAGAACGAAAAGGUUUCUACUAAUACUAGGAGCUCAUGACGGUACUGUAAGAAUAAGCGCCGGCUAACUACGUGCCAGCAGCCGCCGUAA